CACCAGGCUGGGGAGACCCACUGAAGGCCUGGUCCUGGGAGGUGGCACAGGACUCACCAGGCUGGGGAGACCCACUGAAGGCCUGGUCCUGGGAGGUGGCACAGGACGGACCAGGAUGGGGAGACCCACUGGAGGCCUGGUCCUGGGAGGUGGCACAGGAUGAACCAGGAUGGGGAGACCCACUGAAGGCCUGGUCCUGGGAGGUGGCACAGGAUGAACCAGGAUGGGGAGACCCACUGGAGGCCUGGUCCGAGGAGGUGGCACAGGACGGACCAGGAUGGGGAGACCCACUGAAGGCCUGGUCCUGGGAGGUGGCACAGGACUCACCAGGCUGGGGAGACCCACUGAAGGCCUGGUCCUGGGAGG
rnacentral:lncRNA from 1 species